CACCGGCACCGAGGGACCCUGCCAGGCUGCGGGAUCGCCUUCCCGGAGGAAGAUGUCUUGAAGUAAAAAAGCCUGGGCUGUGACACAACAGCACUGGGAGCAGUGGGCAGCUGGCCCUGCUGUGAAGGUCUCUGCUGGUUGUUGAUGUCCAGCCCCUGAUGUGAGAGCUCUUCACAAGCCCUGUGGAGGGCACUGAGACGGCAGAGCAGGAGAAUCUGCUGGGUGCUGCUGCUGGAAACAUCUCUGAGGCAGAAGGACUCCAACAAAACACCUGAGCUUGAGGAUUUUGUGUAGACACAAGGUUUUUCUGCUGUUACAAAGUGGUAACAGUUAAAGUGUUUUAUUACAUGUACAUUAAAAUAUUAAAAA